rnacentral:rRNA from 1 species
AUACAUAGGUGACAAGCGUUAUCCGGAUUUAUUGGGUUUAAAGGGUGCGCAGGCGGGAGAUUAAGUCGGCGGUGAAAUUUUGCAGCUCAACUGGAAAAGUGCCUUCGAAACUGGUUUCCUUGAGUGUAGAUGAAGUAGGCGGAAUUUGUGGUGUAGCGGUGAAAUGCAUAGAUAUCACGAGGAACUCCGAUUGCGCAGGCAGCUUACUAAACUACUACUGACGCUCAGGCACGAAGGCGUGGGGAUCAAACAGGAUUAGAUACCCUGGUAGUCCACGCAGUAAACGAUGAUGGCUAACCGCUGGGCUUAUCAGUUCAGUGGCCAAGCGAAAGCGAUAAGCCAUCCACCUGGGGAGUACGACCGCAAGGUUGAAACUCAAAUGAAUUGACGGGG